ACCCGGCUGGCUCAGUCGGAAGAGCGUGUGACUCUUGAUCUCGGGGGUCGUGAGUUCAAGCCCCACGGUGGGUA
rnacentral:tRNA from 1 species